ACGGAAGGCAGCAGUGGGGAAUAUUGCACAAUGGGGGGAACCCUGAUGCAGCGAUGCCGCGUGGAGGAAGAAGGUUUUCGGAUUGUAAACUCCUGUCUUAAAGGACGAUAAUGACGGUACUUUAGGAGGAAGCUCCGGCUAACUACGUGCCAGCAGCCGCGGUAAUACGUAGGGAGCGAGCGUUGUCCGGAAUUACUGGGUGUAAAGGGAGCGUAGGCGGGAUUGCAAGUCAGAUGUGAAAACUAUGGGCUUAACCCAUAGACUGCAUUUGAAACUGUAGUUCUUGAGUGAAGUAGAGGUAAGCGGAAUUCCUGGUGUAGCGGUGAAAUGCGUAGAUAUCAGGAGGAACACCGGUGGCGAAGGCGGCUUACUGGGCCUUUACUGACGCUGAGGCUCGAAAGCGUGGGGAGCAAACAGGAUUAGAUACCCUGGUA
rnacentral:rRNA from 1 species